GUACUGCACUUUACUAAAUAGUCUCAACACACGGACGCCUGUUACUAUCCUGGCUAAUCUACUGAAAUUCAGGAUGGCUGCGCCCAUGAGCACUCAUAUUAUGGCCUAUUCCCUCUCAAGCCAUAGAGACUGCCAUCUAAGCACCCUUUUGUACCAGCUCUCAAAAACCUUUCAGCAACGUUAUCUAGUUAACAGCGGUACGGUUUCUCGCUAUAGGGUGGGGCCUACUGUAUUAUUAUAAUUAAAAACGUGAAUUUUCUCAACGACAAACACUCAUACCAACGAAAAUCUAAAAAUUGGAACCAACCGGUUACACUAUCCACUUACCCCGAUAAAAAAAUGUAAAAGCACGAAGUGAUUUGCAUUUUUUUUUUGUUUACCAAAUCACCCUCGGCUCAAACGGUAUUGUGGAAGUGUAACAAACAAUACCAACAAUAAAAACAAACAAUAAAUAUUUACACUAAUCGCGCGGUAUCAUAAUAAUACUAUACACUACAAUACAUACAAAUUAAAAUAAUAAAUAACUACAAGAAUAAAAUAAUAAAUUAAAACGUGCACUACCAAAACAUUCUAUCAAUAAUAAAUAACGAAAAUAGUCCCGAAACAUGGGCAAACAAACAUAUAUACAUUUUUACAAAACUCGCAGCAAAACAAUUUUACAACCCUAUUUACAAUAUAUACAUUUAGAUCGUAUUCGAUCUUUCGCUUCAGUGUACCCCUUGCAAAGGCGGGAUUCACCGGCGGGCAAAAUGUCACAUUGAUCGAUGAAUCGAUCGACGAUCGAUCAUCGGUGACAGAUCGCGAAACGUCACUCUUCGGGAAACGAUCAGACGUCAAACAUAUCGGCAUGAUCAAUGUUUUUGUUUACAGUGAUCUUGGCGAUAUGUUGAACGGUUUUAGUUCGAUUUUCAUUGAAAAUGGGCCAAAUUUUCAAUGAAACAAUAGGGUGUGUUGGUGUCGGCGGUGGGAAACAUCCCAAAGAGGGUUGGGUGUUUUGCUGCCAGAGCAAAAUCUUCAUGGCGAAGAUUUGCCUGCAGUAAACCCUGUAAAUCCCGAGAAAUCCGUGCGAGCCAUCUUGCAUGAUGCAAGAUGCACUGCAGAACGAUACCCUCAACGAUUUCCCAGCAGGCGUAGGGACCUCAGCGGUGGAAUUAUGGGUGGAAUUUGCGCACUGAGCUCCGAGGACCUAAACGGAUGACUCCUCGCCAGCUCAUGCAUUCCGCUCCCGGCUUCCUGCCUGGUCCAUUACUAGGCUGUUCCGGAAAUACAUUGUGUAUGUUCUCAUUGAGAAAAAUAAAGACAUUUUCAUGGUUUUACGCGCCACAAGACCCUUCUGGUCUGGGCAAAAUUGAGUAAUAGAAUUUGUUGAAGAAAUUUACCAAUCUGUCUCUGUCAAUU